GAUGAACGCUGGCGGCGUGCCUAAUACAUGCAAGUCGAGCGAACGGACGAGAAGCUUGCUUCUCUGAUGUUAGCGGCGAACGGGUGAGUAACACGUGGAUAACCUACCUAUAAGACUGGGAUAACUUCGGGAAACCGGAGCUAAUACCGGAUAAUAUUUUGAACCGCAUGGUUCAAAAGUGAAAGACGGUCUUGCUGUCACUUAUAGAUGGAUCCGCGCUGCGUUAGCUAGUUGGUAAGGUAACGGCUUACCAAGGCAACGAUGCAUAGCCGACCUGAGAGGGUGAUCGGCCACACUGGAACUGAGACACGGUCCAGACUCCUACGGGAGGCAGCAGUAGGGAAUCUUCCGCAAUGGGCGAAAGCCUGACGGAGCAACGCCGCGUGAGUGAUGAAGGUCUUCGGAUCGUAAAACUCUGUUAUUAGGGAAGAACAUAUGUGUAAGUAACUGUGCACAUCUUGACGGUACCUAAUCAGAAAGCCACGGCUAACUACGUG
rnacentral:rRNA from 1 species